GGCCGCCUCCAGCGGCCUGAGUGAUUGCUGUCGGGUUUCCGGGAGAGGGCGCUGUCCUUGCUCAGUGAUGGCCGGAGAGCUGCACCCUGCACGUCUGGGCUUGAAGACAGAAAUCCACCGUGAGGUGCUCCAAGGAACACUGAUGGGCAGUUUUGUUAAAGUGAUUGAACUCCGUGGGUACAGGAGUACGUGGAGUAAUGAAGGAUAAUGCCCUGUAACCGCUUCCUCUUAGGAAUGCUAGCUUUCACAAUUGUGCAAACGCAUAAGGAAUAAAACUGUUCUUUUGAAAUGAAGAAGAGAACCACCUAGGAGACUAUCACCCUGACCUGAGGACUUCACUAGGGAUUCAGGAAAGAAGACACAGAAAGAAAGCAAUCCUCAAGGAUCAGAAUGGCCAGCAGGAGGCCAUAUGCACCUAAACCAGAUGGAAGAAAAUGGCCCGGGGUGACCAGCUGGCUCUCUUUAUCAAGCUCAGACUCCUCAAGUCCCCGCUUGGAAGAACAGUCACAGAUUCCAUAUACAGGUAAGCAGGAAACUGACAUCUUUGUCUCUAGCAGUUGUUGAGCUGGUGCCUGCUAAGGAGAUGCAGGAAGAUAAUGAAAUUCACUGAAUGAGCAAAAUUGUGUCGCUGCUUGAGUAAGUUCAUGUUUCUGAAGAGACAGCUCAUAGCACACAUCAGAUCCUUAACCUGUGCCCCACUUUCCCCAAAAGAGUCACUUUCCAAAGGAGAUUCAAAUUCUGACCUAUCCACAAACCUCACUUCCAUGAUUUUGAAAGUAAGAGGGUAGAUUUCCUCUCAGAGCUCCAUCUGGAGUCCUGUGCUCUAUGCACCCUUGGGUGUCAUCAGGGCCAUGACUGUGUGGUGGCUUCCAGAAAGAAGUCCAAGGGAAUCUGCCUGAUUGCCUGGGGACUUCCUUGGCACAGAGUGAUGGACCCUUCUCUCCCAGCACAGAGAGGGGCACUGGACUAAGGUGUAAGUGCCAGGGUUCUGAAGGGAGCAAAUCACAGAAAGAUAACUUGUAUUUGGCAAGUUCCAGUGCCACACCCACUCAAGAAAUUUCCUGGGAACUUGGAAGUGCUAAGUGAGCCCAACUGGAAAGGAAAGAAUGAUGGGGCGGGGGGAGUAUAUUUAGAAAGCUAGAGUUUAAAGCUUGACACUGUUCUCUUAAGCUCUUCUGGUUGGUUUUUUCCUCUGCUUAUCAUCUCUGGAGCUUCCUCUUGGUGCAGCUCCCUCCCCUGCAGACUCAGUCCUGCAAAUGCCAGCUCCAUUUCCUUUAUUUUUAUUUUAUAUUUUGCGACAGAGUCCUGCUCUGUCACCCAGGCUGGAGUGCAGUGGCACAAUCUUGGCUCACUGCAACCUCUGCCUCCCAGGCUCAAGUAAUUCUCUUGCUCAGCCUCCCUAGUAGCUGGCAUAACAGGCACAUGCUGCUACCACCUGGCUAAUUUUUGUAUUUGUAGUAGAGAUAGGGUUUUGCCAUGUUGGCCAGGCUGGUCUUGAAUGCCUGACCUCAAGCGAUCCACCCCCCUCAGCCUGCCAAAAUGUUGGGAUUACAGGUGUGAGCCACUGCACCUGGCCCCAGCUUCAUUUCCUUUAACGAGGAAGAGCUCUGGGCUCUGCCUGGGGCUCCCAUCCCCAUGCCACUGCCUGGAAUGUCUCACGCUAUAAGCUGGGGCAGUCUGUGUAAGCUGGGGCAGUCGGAGGCACACCUCACUUGAUUCCUGUCUCUCAGGAACACUGUCCUUCAACUGCCUGAUGUCCAUGGUCUGGUGCGCCAUCAUUUCCAACAUUUUGUCUGCUAUUCGAGUCCUUUCAGACGGGAGGAUAAAUUUGGUUCCUGUUACUCCAUCUUGGCUAAAAGCAUAAGUCCCAUAGCCAUUUAUAUAUUCCAGAAAAUAAGAGAAGUGAAGGCAUGAUCAUUGUAUGUUACUGUAUUGUACCACUGUCCACAUUGAACCUGUUGUUCCCACCACCGACAUGUUCAGGAGUUAGUCUUUGUGGCUGUUCUGAGGCUGCCAUAGUCCCCUCAUCUUUCCAGUCUCUCUUCUGAGGCUGCAAGUCCUCUGGGGCUCUACCACUGUGUUUGUGGGAGCAAGGCAGAUUGCAGCAGCCAGCAAGCCCCUUUUGCUCAGGGGGAAUAGGUGUGAAUGAGAUCCUGGUAAGAGGGGCUGCUUUUCCUGGAAGUAAAAGGCCUCUCUGGGAAUGAGGCCUGCAGUCCUUUUAUUUAAGGGAGUUGGGAGGCAAUGGUUGCUACCCACCUUUCAGACUCUGGACCUGUCAUUAACAACUUCGUUCUUAGCGUCCCACCUUUCAAAGUCAUCCCCCAGCUGGAUGAGGGGUUAUAACCUCAAGCAUAUUCUAAGAAUUUCAUCACCAAGUCAUCCCUUUUUCCUCCUACAAGGAAUUCAAGAUCUCCAAGCAGCAGGGAGGGGGUUCAGAAUACAUAUUCAAGUUGUUGCAGCUCAAAACACUGAUGUAGACAUGGCUGGCACCAACGUGGCUCUAGGACAUACUCCAGGUAACAGAAAAGAUGGUCAACGAAUUAAGGAUCCCAAAUGGAGUCACAGAUGGGAGUGGGGCCAGGGUUUGUGGGAAUUGGAUUCCAGGUCUCUGCAUGCCUACUUGGAUUAGCCUUCACAUCUUGGGAGGUUGUCCCUGUGCAGCAAUGAAUGGGGCCUCAUUAGGGAACUGGGGUGCUAGUUCCAGUUUGUAAGUGAGUGCUCUGUGAUCUCACUUUGCUUUUCUGGGCUCAGAUGCCUCCUAUGCACAACAAUGAGGGUUAAUAUUUGUGAUGAUUAAUUUUAUGUGUUAACUUGGUCACAGGGUGCCCAGAUAUUCUGGAUGUGUCUGUAAGGGAGUUUCUGAAUGAGAUUAACAUUUAAACCAGCUGACUGGCAGAAUGGCUAUUACUAAAAAGUCAAGGCUGGUCUGAAGGUACUGAGUUAUCUCAACUGAUUGUUCCCAGUCAGUUAUAGACUGAACUCCUGGUUCUAUUUUUUCUCCCCUUCUCACUACUGCACUUGACUAGUCUUAAAAAAAAAAAAAAAAAAGUAAAAAAGAAUGGAUGUUGGCAUGGUUGCAGAGAAAAGGUAACACUUAUAUACUGUUGGUGGGAGUAUAAACCUCUAAAGAACUCAGUGUGGAGGUUUCUCAAAGAACUGAAAAUAGAACCAGCAAUCCCAGUACUGGGUAUCUACCUAAAGGAAAAGAAGACAUUACAUAAAAAAGCGGCUGGGCGCCGUGACUCAUGCCUGUAAUCCCAGCACUUUGGGAGGCCAAGGCGGGUGGAUCACAAGGUCAGGAGUUUGAGACUAGCCUGGCCAACAUAGUGAAACCCUGUCUCUACCAAAAAAAGACAAAAAUUAGUCUGGGCACUGUUUUUCACUCCUGUAAUCCUAGCACUUUGGGAGGCUGAGGUGGAUGGAUCACGAGGUCAGGAGAUUGAGACCAUCAUGACUAACACGUCUCUACUAAAAAAAAAAAAAAAAAAAAGAAAUGGCCUGGGAGGAGCCAAGAUGGCUGAAUAGGAACAGCUCCGGUCUACAGCUCCCAGCGUGAGCGACGCAGAAGACGGGUGAUUUCUGCAUUUCCAUCUGAGGUACCGGGUUCAUCUCACUAGGGAGUGCCAGACAGUGGGCGCAGGUCAGUGGGUGCGAGCCGAAGCAGGGCAAGGCAUUGCCUCAUUUGGGAAGCGCAAGGGGUCAGGGAGUUUGCUUUCCAAGUCAAAGAAAGGGGUGACGGACAGCACCUGGAAAAUCGGGUCACUCCCACCCGAAUACUGCGCUUUUCCAACAGGCUUAAAAAAUGGCACACCAUGAGAUUAUAUCCUGCACCUGGCUCGGAGGGUCCU
rnacentral:lncRNA from 10 species